UACGGAGGGUGCGAGCGUUAAUCGGAAUUACUGGGCGUAAAGGGUGCGUAGGUGGUUUGUUAAGUUAUCUGUAAAAUCCCUGGGCUCAACCUGGGCAUGCCAGAUAAAACUGAUGGACUCGAGUACGGGAGAGGGUAGUGGAAUUUCCGGUGUAGCGGUGAAAUGCGUAGAGAUCGGAAGGAACACCAGUGGCGAAGGCGGCUACCUGGCCUGAUACUGACACUGAGGCACGAAAGCGUGGGGAGCAAACAGGAUUAGAUACCCUGGUAGUCCACGCCGUAAACGAUGUCAACUAGCUGUUGGUUAUAUGAAUAUAAUUAGUGGCGCAGCAAACGCGAUAAGUUGACCGCCUGGGGAGUACGGUCGCAAGAUUAAA
rnacentral:rRNA from 1 species